UACGAAGGGGGCGAGCGUUGUUCGGAAUUACUGGGCGUAAAGGGCGCGUAGGCGGUCCUUCAAGUCAGGCGUGAAAGCCCCGGGCUCAACCUGGGAACCGCGCUUGAGACUGGCGGACUCGAGUUCGGGAGAGGAUGGUGGAAUUCCCAGUGUAGAGGUGAAAUUCGUAGAUAUUGGGAAGAACACCGAUGGCGAAGGCAGCCAUCUGGACCGACACUGACGCUGAGGCGCGAAAGCGUGGGGAGCAAAAGGG
rnacentral:rRNA from 1 species